rnacentral:rRNA from 1 species
AUGCUAUUUUGUGUUGCUCAACUAUAUCAUCCCCAUGACCGAUUAAUUGUUACAGUACUUAUCUUGCUAUCUGUUUAUUCGAACAAAACAGAUUUCCAGCCAGAUGGACAGGCGCCGAUCUCCAGCACCGACAAACAGAUAACACCCAAUGUUGAGUCCGGCAUGGUCUACUCCAAGCCCCGACAACUUGAAACAGACGAGAUACCGCUGAUCGUGGAUGACUUCAGACGCGCUGCCCGGAAUGCCAUCGAGGCGGGGUUCGACGGCGUGGAGAUCCACGGGGCACACGGGUGCCUAUUGGAGCAGUUCAUGAAAGACAGCUCUAACGACUGCACCGACGAGUACGGUGGCAGCCUUGAGAACCGAUGCCGCUUUGCGGUGGAGGUAAUUGAUGCUAUCGUCCAUGAGAUUGGUGCGGAUCGUGUAGGAAUCAGAUUGUCUCCAUUCGUGAACUACAUGGAUUGCUUCGACUCCGACCCACAUGCACUCGGGAUGUACAUGGUACAACAACUCAACAAGCAUCAAGGGUUCGUCUAUUGCCACAUGGUAGAACCCCGGAUGGCCAUUGUGGAUGGUCGUAGACAGAUACCCCACGGGCUCCUGCCCUUCAGGAAAGCAUUCAAUGGCACUUUCAUUGCCGCCGGAGUGUACGACCGAGAGGAAGGAAACAAAGUGGUGGCCGACGGCUAUGCUGAUCUCGUUGCUUAUGGGAGGAUCUUUCUGGCUAAUCCAGAUUUGCCAAAGAGAUUCGAGCUCGACUCACCCUUGAACAAGUACGACCGCAACACCUUCUACACGCAAGAUCCUGUCAUUGGCUACACAGACUAUCCUUUCCUUGAAGGCUCGAAUGCCAAGUAG